GAUGAACGCUAGCUACAGGCUUAACACAUGCAAGUCGAGGGGCAUCACAGAGAUAGCUUGCUAUCUUGGGUGGCGACCGGCGCACGGGUGAGUAACGCGUAUCCAACCCGCCCAUUACUCAGGGAUAGCCUUGCGAAAGUAAGAUUAAUACCUGAUGUUGUUUGAUUGCCGCAUGACGAUCAAACCAAAGAUUUAUUGGUAAUGGAUGGGGAUGCGUGACAUUAGGUAGUUGGUGAGGUAACGGCUCACCAAGCCCACGAUGUCUAGGGGUUCUGAGAGGAAGGUCCCCCACACUGGAACUGAGACACGGUCCAGACUCCUACGGGAGGCAGCAGUGAGGAAUAUUGGUCAAUGGUCGAGAGACUGAACCAGCCAUGCCGCGUGAAGGUGACGGCCCUAUGGGUCUUAAACUUCUUUUGUAAGGGAGCAAUAAGGGUCACGCGUGGCCCGAUGAGAGUACCUUACGAAUAAGCAUCGGCUAACUCCGUG
rnacentral:rRNA from 1 species